UAAAAAUCAUUUAAUUGAAAUCGGUUGAGCUCUCAAGCCUUGAAUCGGUUCCUCAUCCACUGAUUUUCUUGUUAGAAUUUCUUCAUAUCGGUUGAUGCUUGAUUUUGUCCUUAAAUCCACUUCCUCGGAUUCUCUGACUUGUCGGAGUUGGUGUCUUUUCGAAUUUUCAAGAUGAGAUAUUGUUAAUUGUCAUGUUAAAAGACAGAAUUGGAGAUCUGG
rnacentral:lncRNA from 1 species